ACAUGUGUUUUCCUCUAAUUUAUUUAGUUUUUGCCUAUAUAUUCUCCCAGUGGCUUUCCCUUUGGCAUUCAAGCCUUCAAAAUUUGAUCUUGGUUUAAUUGUUGUUUUCAUCUCACUGUUUUCUUUGACAAUGGCUAGCAGUUCCUUGCAACAACAGAUUGCCUCCAUGAGGCAAUCCUUGUUUGAUGAGGGAAUCCUAGAUCGUCAACACUUCAUUCAAGUGGAGUAUUUGGAGGAUGGGGGCGACCCAAACUUUGUUAAGGACUAUAUAGGUGUAUAUCUCAGUGACUCACUGAAAAAUCUCAAUGCCAUAGAACAAGCACUUGAGGCUAAAUCCCUUGAUGUCGUUGAACUGGAAAAAUGUCUUGAACUGUUGAAGGACGACUGCCUCAACAUUGGUGAUCAAAAAGGUCGCUGAUGAAGUCGAGAAAAUGCUGCAAUGUUGCAAGGGAGCUGACAUGGAAGGAGCUAGGACUGCAGUUCCUACUUUGAAACAAGAGUAUAACACUCUGAGGAACAAAUUGGAAGCUUAUCAUGAGCUACUUGAACAAAGGGCUGCAAUGGCACCUAAACCUCCAAGCAAACGGAAACUACAUAGCCUAAGUGGGAAUAAAUGGUAUGUGGUGGAUUAGCAGAUUAUUCACCAUUUCAAUAAUGCUAGUACUUGAUUAAUAAUAACGAAUAUAUUGCAGGCAUUUUGCCUUCAUUACUCAAAUAUAUAGUAGUGAAUAAAAUAUAGGUGUUUUGCCUAUGUGCAUGAGUUUGAUGCCUCUACGUUUCUUGUUUGUCUAGAACUAGUUUGUUCAUGGUGUACCAUGGAUGGAUACCAGUUCCUUCGUCAAGUUUGUUU